AGUCGAGCGAUGAAAUUUCGACAGAUCCCUUCGGGGUGAAGAUGAAAUGGAUUAGCGGCGGACGGGUGAGUAACACGUGAGUAACCUGCCUUUGACAUUGGGAUAGCCUCGGGAAACUGGGAUUAAUACCAAAUGACACUAACUGAUCACAUGAUCAAUUAGUCAAAGAAAUUCGGUCAAAGAUGGACUCGCGGCUGAUUAGCUAGUUGGUGAGGUAACGGCCCACCAAGGCGACGAUCAGUAGCCGGCCUGAGAGGGUGAUCGGCCACAUUGGAACUGAGACACGGUCCAAACUCCUACGGGAGGCAGCAGUGGGGAAUAUUGCACAAUGGGGGAAACCCUGAUGCAGCGACGCCGCGUGAGCGAAGAAGGCCUUCGGGUCGUAAAGCUCUUUUAUGAGGGAAGAUAAUGACGGUACCUCAAGAAAAAGCCCCGGCUAACUACGUGCCAGCAGCCGCGGUAAUACGUAGGGGGCUAGCGUUGUCCGGAAUCACUGGGCGUAAAGGGUUCGCAGGCGGAAUAACAAGUCAGAUGUGAAAGGCAUGGGCUCAACCCAUGUAAGCAUUUGAAACUGUAAUUCUUGAGAAGUGGAGGGGUAAGUGGAAUUCCUAGUGUAGCGGUGAAAUGCGUAGAUAUUAGGAGGAAUACCUGUGGCGAAGGCGACUUACUGGACACAAAUCUGACGCUGAGGAACGAAAGCGUGGGUAGCAAACAGGAUUAGAUACCCUGGUAGUCCACGCCGUAAACGAUGAGUGCUAGGUGUCGGGGGAGACCUCGGUGCCGGCGUUAACACAAUAAGCACUCCGCCUGGGGAGUACGUGCGCAAGCAUGAAACUCAAAGGAAUUGACGGGGACCCGCACAAGCAGCGGAGCAUGUGG
rnacentral:rRNA from 1 species